UUUUUCUGCUGUUAGGGUGAUGAAUGCCAAAUUAUGAAUUUUCCUGCUUUAAUUUGUUAACAAAUAACACCUUUUCAUUUACAAGGCUAAGAUGCGAAAUAGAAUCAAGCAACCCUCAGAGGCAGAUGUUAACAAAAAUGACAGGAUGCAUUAGUCUAUAUCGUUAAAGAUGAAGAGCCUCGCUUUCAAUGAGAACAAUAACAUUCUCUAUUCAUCUUAUCAAAAAUUUUCUUCUGCAACAUACAAAGAAAAGAAUUGAAGGAAAAUAAAAGAGCUGGGGAAUUUACUAUUCAUUAGCAAUAUCUAGAUAAGCUUCUUCUUUCGGAAGAAACUUUUCAGAUACCACAACUGCAGAACCGAGACCACGAUGCAGAGACCCAAGGACAUGAUACUAAACCAUGCUACUCUAGUAUUUGUUGUCUCGCUUACAGUCCUUAACUCUGCUUCUCUGCUUUUGAGAUAGAGUAGAUUCUCAUGGAUGGCCUCUACUGCUCCCUCAAGUUUUCUCAGCUCAAGUUCAACACCCUACAUAAGGAUAUUAUGAAAGCAUAUGUAUGCAUGAUAAAUUUCAAUAUAUGGGAACAAGUACACAACACACACGCAUACAGACACCAAAACACACACAUUUAAUAAACUUUUAAACUGCCCAGGCAAAUACAUUACUGUGUAAAAUUUGUUCCUGUCAAAUUCCCACCCUCUCAAGUUUUGCCCUAACAAGAAGCUAGACUCCAAGAUCAACCAAAACAAAAAUUCUAGGCUUAGCAUCCGGCUAAGGUUUUCCUCAACCUCUUAUUUGUCCAAAUAAAGGUUAUGGACCAUUAAAGCCCAUCUUCUUCCUCUCUUGUUAAAAAUUCAUGCACACUUGUUUGGGUUAACAGCUCUACAACAUAUUAAAUACUAGUCCAGCAUCAGUGUCCAUUUCAUUUAUAAUGCAAAUUACCCACAGAUAGAACUGAGAUGAUAUUAAGUAAGAAGGCAUUCAAUUCACAGAUCAAUGAAAGUUUUGUGCAAGUUUUUGACCUAUAGAUAAAAACAAUAACUCAAUGCAUUGUUUUUCAGAAUUCACUCUCAAUGUCUACCCUGGAGCAGGUGUUAUCAUAUUUUCUUCUCCUAUUUCUCCUCUAUCUUUUUCUUGUCUUUGCAUGUGUGUCAAGUUUAAGGGAUAACAAAGAAUCUUAUAGUGCUUACCUCAAUCUUUUCUUUUCUUGCAACUGAUUCCCAAUCCUUCGCUGCAAUUCCAGUUUUCCAGUCAAGGUUGACACUUACAUCUCCACCUCCUUGAUUAUCGCCCCCCACCCAGAAACAAGCCAGAUAGUUGCCAGCCUCUUGAGUAGUGAAUGCAAAUUGACCAUGCGUCACAUUUUCCUUCUGAUGAAGAUUGUUCCCAUAUGGUGACGUCACCUAUAGAAGAAAUCAAAUUAACACGAUACAAAUGCUAGUUACUAUUUUUUCAUACAAGUUCAAAUGAAAGAACUCUUGCCUAGAAAAUAUAAUGAUGCAAAUAAAAGUAAGAGGGAAAAAAGUUUGAGGAUCACUUAAUUAUUAAUUCUUUAUUAUUUGGAAUUUACUUGCAAUUUUUUUGAGUUUAAUGGGGGUUUUCUCCCUGCAAUAGGAAAUUUAUCCUAAAUAAAUAAAUAAAUAAAACAGUGAAAUAAAAGAUCUAAAGCAGCUUCUAACCAAAAAAAAAAAGAUCUAAAGCUGUAGUUCUUCCACAAACAAGAAAAGGAACGAGAAUCAAAUUCAUUGUUUGCUUUGCCAUUCAAGAAUAUGGGACUAUUGCUAAGCCAGUGCCACAGCUAUGCUAAAUACUGUAGCUAAGGCUAUUGAUGAAUGAAAUGAGAUAAUUACAAUUUAAUAAUUUUGGUGAUCUUCUUGGUUUACUUUUUCCUUUUUUUCAGUUUUUUUAAACUAAUUUUUCAUUUGAUUUGGCACAACAUUACUUAAAGCUUUCCUAUACAUCCAAUACAAGAAAUUUGCAAAUUCAUUCUCUUAAGAAAGUAAAAAGGUUCUUCAAAAAUAAAACCAAUCUUACUUAAAUAGUAAAUGUUCAAGUUUACCAAUUGAACAGGUUAACCUAAAGCCAAGCAUCCUGUUUCAGAAUAUUCCUAUACCCCUCACAGUCCACUGUUUAGGCAUCAACUAGAAUUAUUUUCUUCAAUUCUCUCUUAAAUCUCUGAUUGGUAAUGUUUUGAACUGACACAACCCCACCCCACCUCUUCAUAACAUGAACAAAUACCAAAGAUUCAGCAGAAAGUUGCUUCAUUCCAGAGAGGCUAAUUGAGCAGACAAAUUUUCAAGAAGUAGAAAUAAUCACUAAGCAAAUAAAAGGUUCUUCAACUAUGCUACCACUAACGGUUCUCCAUUAUUUUCCUGCACAAACUCCCAUAUCAUCAAUAUAAAACAAGGUGCCUGAUGCCAAAUUGACCAACUCUUCAAGUCAUAAACUACUAUCAUAUAAAGCCUAAGUAUUAACUUUACAUUUUUCUAACAUCUAAACACUAUCCCUACACAGUAAAACCAGGCAAUGGUGUAUGCAGUAUGCAUGAAUAAAUAGAUCCCUAUCACAUCACAAAUCAAUAGCUCAAAAACCCAAUUGCCAUCCAAUUCGAGGUCAGAAAAUCAUUUCUCAAAAAGGGUUUCUUUUUCUAGCUAUACAAAAGAAACCCAACUCACAGAAACCAAAACGCAAUCCCCUGACUCUUCAGAGAUCCAAAACAUAAAGACAAACAUUAUCAAAAUUGAAUCAAAAAAAGAAACGGGACCUUGAUAGAGAUGGUUGGAAGGCGAGAGUUGUCCUCGGAAACGACAACAUAAUCAGCUAAUACGACAACAUUGGUGUGGAGUUCCUCGGAAACGCACUUCGUCCCCGAUGCCGGCAGAUUUAACCAAAUUCCCUCACUCACCCGAACAGUUCCCCAAAUCCAAAGCGUUAACAACAAUUGCAGCACCAACUCCCUGCGCACGUUAGCCCGCAUCCCCAUUUCUAUAGUCUGCGUCUCUUUGAAAUUCAACUUUCUCUCCCACUCUCUGUAGAAAUUCUUUAGGGAUUUGAAGUUAAU
rnacentral:misc_RNA from 1 species